rnacentral:rRNA from 1 species
CUACGGGUGGCAGCAGUGGGGGAUAUUGCACAAUGGGCGAAAGCCUGAUGCAGCAACGCCGCGUGAAGGAAGACGGUUUUCGGAUUGUAAACUUCUAUCAGCAGGGAAGAAAAUGACUGUACCUGACUAAGAAGCCCCGGCUAACUACGUGCCAGCAGCCGCGGUAAUAGGUAGGGGGCAAGCGUUAUCCGGAUUUACUGGGUGUAAAGGGUACGUAGGCGGUUUAUUAAGUCAGAUGUGAAAGCCCGGAGCUCAACUCCGGGACUGCAUUUGAAACUGGUGAACUAGAGUACAGGAGAGGAAAGUGGAAUUCCUAGUGUAGCGGUGAAAUGCGUAGAUAUUAGGAAGAACACCAGUGGCGAAGGCGGCUUUCUGGACUGUAACUGACGCUGAGGUACGAAAGCGUGGGGAGCGAACAGGAUUAGAUACCCGUGUAGUC